rnacentral:misc_RNA from 1 species
CCUCCUUUCUACGGAGUACAAACGUCUAUCGCUUUUUAGAGUAGACAUAACCCCAGCUAUUUACAGACCUGUUAUUUAAAUAAAUUAUGUCAUGGGCUUUUAAUAGGGUCGGAGCUUUAUAUCUAGUUUUGAGAGAGCAUUCUCUCUUUGUUCUUUGAAAACUGAAUAGUAAAAUAUUUUUCGAUAUUUACACCGCCACCCCAACUCCCAUCAAAAAUUUAAUGGGUAAUUUGUUUUGAUUCAUCGAGAAAAUCAUAUUAAUUAUGAUUCAUUGAAAUGUCUUAAAAUACACAUCUUAAACUAAACAAUAGGGCCAUACUACUU